rnacentral:rRNA from 1 species
AUUGAACGCUGGCGGCAUGCUUUACACAUGCAAGUCGAACGGCAGCGCGGGCUUCGGCCUGGCGGCGAGUGGCGAACGGGUGAGUAAUACAUCGGAACGUGCCCAGCAGUGGGGGAUAGCUCGGCGAAAGCCGGAUUAAUACCGCAUACGACCUGAGGGUGAAAGCGGGGGAUCUUCGGACCUCGCGCUAUUGGAGCGGCCGAUGGCAGAUUAGCUAGUUGGUGGGGUAAAGGCCUACCAAGGCGACGAUCUGUAGCUGGUCUGAGAGGACGACCAGCCACACUGGGACUGAGACACGGCCCAGACUCCUACGGGAGGCAGCAGUGGGGAAUUUUGGACAAUGGGCGAAAGCCUGAUCCAGCAAUGCCGCGUGUGUGAUGAAGGCCUUCGGGUUGUAAAGCACUUUUGGCGGGAACGAAAAGGACUGUGCCAAUGCCACGGUUCGAUGACGGUACCCGCAGAAUAAGCACCGGCUAACUACGUG